rnacentral:piRNA from 1 species
UGAAGCUGGAGCAGUGAAGACCUUUG